GAUAUAAAAUCUUAUUUAGGGUUACUUACUGUAAAUUAUUUAGUCGAUGCUGUUUUAUUU
rnacentral:tRNA from 1 species